GACGAACGCUGGCGGCGUGCUUAACACAUGCAAGUCGAGCGGUAAGGCCUCUUCGGGGGUACACUAGCGGCGAACGGGUGCGUAACACGUGGGUGACCUGCCCUCAGCUCUUGGAUAAGCCUGGGAAACUGGGUCUAAUACCGGAUAUGACCUUUCCUCGCUUGGGGUUUGGUGGAAAGUUUUUUCGGCUUGGGAUGGUCCCGCGGCCUAUCAUCUUGUUGGUGGGGUGAUGGCCUACCAAGGCGACGACGCGUAGCCGGCCUGAGAGGGCGACCGGCAACACUGGGAGUGAGACACGGCCCAGAAUCAUACGGGAGGCAGCAGUGGGAAAUACUGCGCAAUGCGCGGAAGCCUGACGCAGCGACGCGGCGUGGGGGAUGACGGCUUUGGGGUUGUAAACCUAUUUCGACCCCGACGAAUUUGGACGGUAGGGAUAGAAGAAGCACCGGCCAACUACGUG
rnacentral:rRNA from 1 species